CUUCUUUUAGUGCUCUUCUCUCAUGUAUAAAAGAAAAUUUCAAUCAUUGGGAUCAGUUAUCCCACCUCCAUGUGCUUCCAAAAAGAGUUUUGUGGUAUGAUCCAAUCCAAUGAUAUCUUUUACACAUACAUAAAUACAUUGUUUCUUCAUCAUUUCUCCAUCUCUUUGAAAACCACUAAGCAUGGGUUAUACAGGCAUACAGCCAUAAUCACAUGGGUUUUAACCAGCUUUCUGAUAUAACCCUCCUAUAUUACUGCAACAGCAUCCAUUUACCAAGGAAUUAAAAGAGAGAAUCUCCCCAACUUUUGAAUACC